rnacentral:rRNA from 1 species
GAUGAACGCUGGCGGCGUGCCUAAUACAUGCAAGUCGAGCGAACGGACGAGAAUCUUGCUUCUCUGAUGUUAGCGGCGGAGGGGUGAGUAACACGUGUAUAACCUACCUAUAAGACUGGGAUAACUUCGGAAAACCGGAGCUAAUACCGGAUAAUAUUUUGAACCGCAUGGUUCAAAAGUGAAAGACGGUCGUGCUGUCACGUAUAGAUGGAUCCGCGCUGCGUUAGCUAGUUGGUAAGGUAAAGGCUUACCAAGGCAACGAUGCAUAGCCGCCCUGAGAGGGUGAGCGGCCACACUGGAACUGAGACACGGCCCAGACUCCUACGGGAGGCACCAGUACGCAAUCGUGCGGAAUGGGCGAAAGCCUGACGGAGCAACGCCGCGUGAUUGAUGAAGGUCUUCGGAUGGUAAAACUCUGUUAUUGGGGAGGAACAUAUGUGCAAGUAACUGUGAACAUCUUGACGGGACAUAAUUAGAAAGCCACGGCCAAAUUCCUG